UAACUGAUAGAAAAUGACCUGGAUAGGUAAAAUCAGUGGAUAAUGCAAAAGUACGAACGGACUCCCCAUUAUACAGGAAUGGACCAAUCAACUGAUCUCUUUCAGAAAAGGAAAUGAAUAGGGACGCAGACAGUCUACCAUUUUGCUCAAAGAUUUGAGGACAAUAGUGCUUUAAGACAACCCACAUUCCGAACUGCUGAUCCCAUUCUGCGGCAUUUUAAUGAGUAAUGGCUGUACUUCCACCGGACUUUCGAAUAUUGUAAGAGAAUACACAUUGUCUGUUCGUUUGCAUACAUCAAUUGACAAUUAUUCGAAGUUGAAGACUAUCAUUGUCCAACUUAACCUUCUCAAAAGAAUUUGCCAAAGCCAAAAGAGCCAUUUGAGCAUCCGCUUCUACUCUAGUUAACUUAAAUAGUGUUUAACAACUAGCAAGGAUCAAACCUCCUAUAAUGCUUAAAAAACUUCGCAUGCUGUUUAGUCUUGAUUAAAAAAGGUAAUUAACGAAUGUUUAAAUUGACGACGCUUACCCUUGUAGUGCUCGCCUCGCUACAUUAAGAUACACAGCAGUUUGUUAAGUGUUUAAAAGAUUAAUUACGAAUGCAAAUCUUACUAGGGCUCAUUAUCCUACAAAUGAAAGGUUCUUUGCUUAUUCGAAUUUAAAAAAAAAACUUGAAGUUUAUAAGGCUAAAGAUUAUAAAAAUAUUAAUUGAGUGAUUUUACAAGUACAUAAUCGGUUAUUGGGAAUAUGCGGUAGACGACAUUAUAAAUAUUGCUUAGAGUCACUAAAACAGCAAAAUACUUUCACAUAUUCUAAAUUUAAUCAAAAAGUCAAUAUACCUGACUGUUAUUGUAAAAGAUAAAUUCAGAAAAUAGUUGAAUAUAUUGAUCGUUAGAAAAAUAGUGUGAAACAAAUUUAAUCUCGCAUUUUUUUACCUAACAAAUAGAGACGAAAGUGCAUUUAUCUAAUUUACGUUUCAAUAUUGAAAUUCUUACAGUCUACUCAUUAUUUCCUCAUUAAAAGAUCGACUUGGCACUGAAAACAAAUGAACCGCCGAUAUCCUAUAUUGUUACAAAGCAUAUGCUUAUUU